UGCAUAUUCAAAAAGCGGAGGAAAAGAAACCAACAGGGAUUGCCCUAGUAACGGCGAGUGAAGCGGCAACAGCUCAAAUUUGAAAGCUGGCUCCGGCCCGCAUUGUAAUUUGCAGAGGAUGCUUCUGGUGAGGUGCCUUCCGAGUUCCCUGGAACGGGACGCCAUAGAGGGUGAGAGCCCCGUAUGGAUGGACACCAAACCUGUGUGAAGCUCCUUCAACGAGUCGAGUAGUUUGGGAAUGCUGCUCUAAAUGGGAGGUAAAUCUCUUCUAAAGCUAAAUACCGGCCAGAGACCGAUAGCGCACAAGUAGAGUGAUCGAAAGAUGAAAAGCACCUUGAAAAGGGGGUUAAACAGUACGUGAAAUUGUUGAAAGGGAAGCGCUUGUGACCAGACUUGCGCCGGGCAGCUCAUCAGGGGUUCUCCCCUGUGCACUCUGCCCGGCUCAGGCCAGCAUCGGUUCUCGUGGGAGGAUAAGAACGGUAGGAACGUGGCCCCCUUCCGGGGGGGUGUUAUAGCCUACCGUACGAUACUCCCGUGGGGACCGAGGUUCGCGCUCCGCAAGGAUGCUGGCGUAAUGGUCAUCAGCGACCCGUCUUGAAACCACGGACCAUU
rnacentral:rRNA from 1 species